UACAGAGGUCCCAAGCGUUGUUCGGAUUCAUUGGGCGUAAAGGGUGCGUAGGCGGCGCGGUAAGUCGGGUGUGAAAUCUCGGGGCUUAACUCCGAAACUGCAUUCGAUACUGCCGUGCUUGAGGACUGGAGAGGAGAAUGGAAUUCCCGGUGUAGCGGUGAAAUGCGCAGAUAUCGGGAGGAACACCGGUGGCGAAGGCGGUUCUCUGGGCCUGUGCUGACGCUGAGGAGCGAAAGCGUGGGGAGCGAACAGG
rnacentral:rRNA from 1 species